rnacentral:rRNA from 1 species
AGGGUGACAAUCCCGUACUUGACACGACCCCCGGUGCUCUGUGAUACGUUUUCAACGAGUCGAGUUGUUUGGGAAUGCAGCUCAAAAUGGGUGGUAAAUUCCAUCUAAAGCUAAAUAUUGGCGAGAGACCGAUAGCGAACAAGUACCGUGAGGGAAAGAUGAAAAGCACUUUGGAAAGAGAGUUAAACAGUAUGUGAAAUUGUUAAAAGGGAAACGAUUGAAGUCAGUCGUGUUCAUUGGAUUCAGCUGGUUCUGCCAGUGUAUUUCCUUUGAACGGGUCAACAUCAGUUUGGAUCGGUGGAUAAAGAUGAGAGGAAGGUGGCACCCUCGGGUGUGUUAUAGCCUCUUGUUGCAUACACUGGUCCGGACUGAGGAACGCAGCUCGCCUUUAUGGCCGGGGUUCGCCCACGUCCGAGCUUAGGAUGUUGACAUAAUGGCUUUAAACGACCCGUCUAAC